GUGAAUCAUCGAAUUUUUGAACGCAAAUUGCACCCUCCUCGGAGAGUAUGCCUGUUUGAGGGUCAGCCUAUAAAAAAUCGACAUCGUUGCUGUUUCGCGGUGGCGUUUGUCGGAAAUUGGGUCAUCUUAAAUCUUUUGGUUUUAAGCGACUUAAAAUUUUCUUUUUGGUUCCUUGAACGUUUCUAAGUUUUAUUUCUUUAUACGUUUAAAGUAUCGAUUUUUAUUAGAGUUGGCCAUCAUAUCGGAUCGCGCCCAUAAUCUUUCAUUAACUGACUUCAGACAGGUAAGAGUACUUGCUGAA
rnacentral:misc_RNA from 1 species